GAUGAACGCUGGCGGCGUGCCUAAUACAUGCAAGUCGAGCGAACGGACGAGAAGCUUGCUUCUCUGAUGUUAGCGGCGGAUGGGUGAGUAACACGUGGAUAACCUACCUAUAAGACUGGGAUAACUUCGGGAAACCGGAGCUAAUACCGGAUAAUAUUUUGAACCGCAUGGUUCAAAAGUGAAAGACGGUCUUGCUGUCACUUAUAGAUGGAUCCGCGCUGCAUUAGCUAGUUGGUAAGGUAACGGCUUACCAAGGCAACGAUGCAUAGCCGACCUGAGAGGGUGAUCGGCCACACUGGAACUGAGGCACGGUCCAGACUCCUACGGGAGGCAGCAGUAGGGAAUCUUCCGCAAUGGGCGAAAGCCUGACGGAGCAACGCCGCGUGAGUGAUGAAGGUCUUCGGAUCGUAAAACUCUGUUAUUAGGGAAGAACAUAUGUGUAAGUAACUGUGCACAUCUUGACGGUACCUAAUCAGAAAGCCACGGCUAACUACGUG
rnacentral:rRNA from 1 species